rnacentral:rRNA from 1 species
ACGCUCGACACCUACGGGAGGCAGCAGUGGGGAAUAUUGGGCAAUGGGCGCAAGCCUGACCCAGCAACGCCGCGUGAAGGAAGAAGGCCCUCGGGUUGUAAACUUCUUUUGACAGGGACGAACAAGGUGACGGUACCUGUCGAAUAAGCUCCGGCUAACUACGUGUCAGCAGCCGCGGUAAUCUGAGCGGGCUGGCAAGGC